rnacentral:misc_RNA from 1 species
UUAAUACUAAUAUGCAGAGGAGAGAGAGAGAGGCGAAAGAAAUCAAGCAAGCUGCCGUCUUGUACUCACAUCGCAUUGGGCCUGGUCGUCGGGCGUGUUGAACAUGCAGAAGACGCCGGCGCAGCCCCGCACGGCGUCGGCGAUGGCGUGGUAGUCGAACGGGUCGGCGCGGAACAGCUUCAGCCGGUGCCUGCACGCGUCGGCGGCGCACGACAGGUGGCCGAGCAGCGCGGCGGCAGCCGCGCCCUCCUCCCCGUCGCGGGCGUACGUGGCGGCGUGGACGGUGUACCCGCGCCGGAGGAGGCGGUCCACGAGCGCGUGGCCCAGCGGCCCCGCGGCGUCCAUCACGCACACGCUCUUGCCCGCCGCCGCCGCCGACGACGACUCCACGGAUCCCGGACACAUGUUUUCUUCUUCGACCGAGGAGGAGGCAAGACAGCGAAGCGAAGCCGGAGGAGGAGCUCAGCGACGACGGUGGUGGUGGAUUGACGAGGCCAAGAUGAUGAUACGGAUUGCAAAGAGGGGAAGGUGAGGCGCGCAGUAUAUAUAGCGGGAAGAAAAAGAAGAAGAAGAGAAGAGACCGGGGCCGGGG